CGUCUAUAUACGUAUAGCAUAUCAAUAAGCGGAGGAAAAGAAACUAACAAGGAUUCCCUUAGUAACGGCGAGUGAAGCGGGAAGAGCUCAAAUUUGAAAUCUUCAAGGCUCUACCUUGACGAAUUGUAGUUUAAAGAAGUGUUUUCUGUUAGAGGAGUAGGCAAAAGUUCCUUGGAAUGGGACAUCAUAGAGGGUGAGAAUCCCGUAUUUGGUUACUCUUUCUAGCUUUGUGAUACACUUUCAAAGAGUCGGAUUGUUUGGGAAUGCAGUCCAAAAUGGGUGGUAAAUUUCAUCUAAAGCUAAAUAUUGGCGAGAGACCGAUAGCGAACAAGUACCGUGAGGGAAAGAUGAAAAGAACUUUGAAAAGAGAGUUAAACAGUACGUGAAAUUGUCAAAAGGGAAGCGUUUGACACCAGUGUUGUUUUUCCGAAAAUCAAUUAAGAACGGCUUGAUUUUGUGUUGUAUUGACCUUAUCAGCUUUCUUCACUCUUUUUCGAGUCUUUCUUAAUGCACUUUUCGGUUAACAAGUCAACAUCAAUUUCUUUUGUUGUAAAAGGGUAUUUGGAAGGUGGCUUUCUUUUCGGAGAAAGUGUUUAUAACCUUAUACCUCUACAAUCGGAGAGAUUGAGGUCUGCAGCGUAGAUCCUUCGGGGCUAGAUACACUUGUGCUAAGUUAUAGCUUUUCAUAGACAACUUGUUGACUAUGUUUAGUCAUGUAGCUUACCCGCUUGUGCUAUUUUACCUACGCUUAGGAUGUUGAGUCAUCACACAUCUCU
rnacentral:rRNA from 1 species